UAGCAAAAACAUAAACAUAUUUAAGUUGUCAAAUCAUUAACAUUUUCAUGCACACCUCCUUUCCCUCUGUGGAUGUUUACAAAGAUCCUCUCCAGUUCAAGUUCAGAUAAAAAUUGAAAAAAAUUAGCUGGGUAUGGCGGCAUAAACCUGUGAUCCCAGCUGCUUGGGAGGCUGAGGUAGGGAAAUUGCUUGAACCAGGAAGGUGGAGGUUGCAGUGAGUCAAGAUCACACCACUGCUCUCCAGCCUGGUGAGACAGUGAGAUUGCAUCUAAAAAAAAAAAAAAGACUCCCUAUCAUCUGGUCUAUUUCUUUCUUUUUCUUUUUUUUUUUUUAGGAAGGGAUGAAGGAAGGGAGGAAGGGGGGAGGGAGGAAGGGAGGGAGGGAAGGGAAGAAAGGAAUUCAAGCAAUGAGAGAGACAUUGCCAACCUGGAUCUAGAGGUUUACAAGUUGAUUUCUUUUUUUUUGAGUGAAGGAAAGAAGAAAAAAAUGAGUAAAGGAGAGGAAGAAAGAGGAAGAGAAAGAGGGAGAGUUCAAGGGGAUAGAUUUUGACAGGAAUAUGUCAUGGCUCCGGACUGAACCGUAAAAUUCUAGAGGACGGGGAAUAGAAUCCAUGGGUUUUUUUUCUCUGCAGAACCUAACAACAUUUAAUGACAUCACCUUGGCUAAGAUUCAGGAAUUCAGAACACUAAGUUACCCUGAACUAUCUAAAAAUGAAAAUGGAAAGAUAAUUCUGCUCCAUGUCUGGUGUACUCCAACUGCGGAUAAGGUGCCCUUUAGGGCCUUAAAUGACAGGAACAAAGUAUGGUGGUUUGUCACUAGAGCUCCAGGAAGCCACGAGGAAACAGAUCUUAGGAACCAAAUUGCUCAAAAUGGGAAAUAAAUGAAGAAAUGUGCAGCAGAUGCUCCCAGCCUGGACAUGUAACCUUCAAGAAGAAGGGCCCACCAGUCAUGCUAAUUGGUCUUGAACAAUGGCUGUUUGCACUGGGAGAUGAGAGAGAGCGCCCUGUUUCUUCCUGAUUCCCUUCUAUAGGCAUCUUUCCAGGAUUUGAAAUUGAUAAUUGUAGACACAAAGAUAUACUUGGCCUACUUUGCCAGCCUAUUUGGAAUCAUGGGUGUCACCCUGCGUGUCUGGUAUAUGUGCAGAUGGUUUCUGGCGGCUUCAAUAAAAUCAGAAAACACAAAAUCUGUAUUUGUUUU
rnacentral:lncRNA from 13 species